rnacentral:rRNA from 1 species
UCCAGACUCCUGCGGGAGGCAGCAGUGAGGAAUAUUGGUCAAUGGCCGGAAGGCUGAACCAGCCAAGCCGCGUGAAGGACGAAGGUGCCAAGCAUUGUAAACUUCUUUUGUCAAGGGACAAAAUCAGGCUCGAGAGCCUGACCGAGGGUACUUGAAGAAAAAGCAUCGGCUAACUCCGUGCCAGCAGCCGCGGUAAUACGGAGGAUGCGAGCGUUAUCCGGAUUUAUUGGGUUUAAAGGGUGCGCAGGCGGAGGUGCAAGUCAGCGGUCAAAUUGCGGGGCUCAACCCCGUCCUGCCGUUGAAACUGGGGAUCUAGAGUGUGCGAGAGGUAUGCGGAAUGCGUGGUGUAGCGGUGAAAUGCAUAGAU